rnacentral:piRNA from 1 species
UAAAACAAAAACCUUCUUAUAUUUCUGUGUUU